rnacentral:rRNA from 1 species
CCCCUUGAGAGUGGCGAACGGGUGAGUAAUGUAUCGGAACGUGCCCAGUCGUGGGGGAUAACGUAGUGAAAAUUACGCUAAUACCGCAUACGAUCUAUGGAUGAAAGCGGGGGAUCGCAAGACCUCGCGCGAUUGGAGCGGCCGAUAUCAGAUUAGGUAGUUGGUAGGGUAAAGGCCUACCAAGCCAACGAUCUGUAGCUGGUCUGAGAGGACGACCAGCCACACUGGAACUGAGACACGGUCCAGACUCCUACGGGAGGCAGCAGUGGGGAAUUUUGGACAAUGGGCGAAAGCCUGAUCCAGCCAUUCCGCGUGCAGGAUGAAGGCCCUCGGGUUGUAAACUGCUUUUGUACAGAACGAAAAGGUUUCUAUUAAUACUAGGAGCUCAUGACGGUACUGUAAGAAUAAGCACCGGCUAACUACGUGCCAGCAGCCGCGGUAAUACGUAGGGUGCAAGCGUUAAUCGGAAUUACUGGGCGUAAAGCGUGCGCAGGCGGUUAUAUAAGUCAG